rnacentral:snoRNA from 1 species
GCUGUGAUGAACACUUGGCGUUGAUCAAGUUUUGAUCUGAUAAAGCCUACCUGUCCUCUAAGAAGUUCUGAGCUG